GAUGAACGCUAGCGGCAGGCCUCAUACAUGCAAGUCGAGGGGCAGCAGAACAUUUCGGUGUUGCUGGCGACCGGCGAACGGGUGCGUAACACGUAUGCAAUCUACCUUGUACUGGGGCAUAGCUCUCGGAAACGAGGAUUAAUACCCCAUAUCAUUUUAACAGCGCAUGCUGAUAGAAUGAAAGCUCCGGCGGUACAAGAUGAGCAUGCGUCCCAUUAGCUAGUUGGUAAGGUAACGGCUUACCAAGGCCACGAUGGGUAGGGGUUCUGAGAGGAAGAUCCCCCACACUGGCACUGAGAUACGGGCCAGACUCCUACGGGAGGCAGCAGUAGGGAAUAUUGGUCAAUGGGCGCAAGCCUGAACCAGCCAUGCCGCGUGCAGGAUGAAGGCCCUCAGGGUCGUAAACUGCUUUUGUACGGGAACAAAAAGCUCCUGCGGGAGUCAUUGAGGGUACCGUAAGAAUAAGCACCGGCUAACUCCG
rnacentral:rRNA from 1 species